rnacentral:rRNA from 1 species
UACGUAGGGGGCUAGCGUUGUCCGGAAUCAUUGGGCGUAAAGAGCGCGUAGGCGGCUAGAUAAGUCCGGUGUGAAAACUCGAGGCUCAACCUCGAGACGCCGAUGGAAACCGCAUGGCUAGAGUCCGGAAGAGGAGAGUGGAAUUCCUGGUGUAGCGGUGAAAUGCGCAGAUAUCAGGAAGAACACCCGUGGCUAAGGCGGCUCUCUAGUACGGUACUGACGCUGAGACGCGAAAGCGUGGGAGCGAACAGG